rnacentral:lncRNA from 1 species
GAACAACAAAUGGUUUUCCAUGUUAUUGUAAUGUAGGACUUCGAUGUGCUGACGAAAAAUAGUCUGCCACUUUUCCCACUUAAAACAAGUAACAAAAGGAAGGAAAUAAAUCAAACACAACCAAAUCCAGUUCAUUUUCUACAGCUAGGAACUUGUACAUAACAGGACAUGAUAAUGAAGACAAUAACCUUUGGGAAACAUCAUGCCAAAUCGCACUUCCAAUAACAUCUCCAA